GUACAAAUGUAUGUAGUAUUUUUGUUGUACUAGCGUACUAGCGUACUAGCGUACUAGCGUCACGAACAUGUACAUGUAGGUAGCUUGGUACCUUUUCAUUGUUGCUUCCAUUUUGCGAUCCGAUCGAUUGUUGCAGCUUUUCAAACUCCAGCCUCUGUAUUUCUCUGUAUUGCCACAUGCCACAAAGAUAAGUUGCCACAAAGUUGUUAUUGAAAAUACCAAAACAAUUCCUAAGAACUCCCGAUGAUGCCUUGAUCAGUCUGGCAGCACAACAUAUCGAGUCUUUUUCUACAAUCCUAUCGACCUAUCGUAUCGAGUCUUUUACAAUCUAUUCCCAGUCCCAAUCCCAAUCCCAAUCCCUGACGGCACGUCCUUACCGAGCCACUUUCUGAUGGAGAGGCGACCCUCUAGAUCGGCAGCACUGAGACGGCACUCGAACUCCUUAUAUUUGAUCUGUCCCAGUGCCGAGUGAUUGAGUGAUUGAGCCCGAAUGCCUGUAUCUCGAGCAGAGGCAACUCAGCCUCAGCCAUCGAUGGCCGAUGCUCUGCUCGAUGCCGAUGCCGAUGCCGAUGCUGUGUGCCCAGCGUGUGCUGUGUGCGUGAAUUGGCGAAAGUCCUCGAUCAAAAUGUAGCCCAGGUUCUGUGUAUCGAUCAUCUUGCACAGUAGGCGCAUCUUAUGGGCGCUUUCGUUAUCGGGUGGACUCCAUGGUGGUACUCCAUGGUCUUGGUGAACUGGUGAAUAUGAACUGCGGCUCCAGCCGCUCCAGUAGCGCAGGCGCACACAAAUUGGUCAAAGGAGAGCGCAGCUCUGGACGGGGAAAGGUGUCCACGAUUUGGCGUUUCAAUGGAUGCUGAGCAAGCUGCGGUAUGCGGAGCAUAUCUGUGGGUGUCAGAUAGCCACGACGCUGUCGAUCCAAUGUCGAUCCAAUGAUUGAAACCGUUUAUAUUUAUUUAUAGAGCUGCUCCAACUGUGCACACGAGAGUCCCGUCUCCCGUCUCCCGUCUCCCGCUGAUGCUCCGCCAGCCAUCUGCUUGGGGCUCAGCGAACGGCUGCAGUUCAAUCCCAUUCUGAUGGUAGAUGGUAGAUGGUAGAUGGUAUAUGGUAGAUCUGUAGAUUUGCUGCUGGUCCCCAGCUCCAGUUCCAGUUCCUGUUCCUUGUGAUUGAUGCAUUUUGAUGCAAGUCAAAACGACAACUUGUGUGCGCCACCUGUUUCUGUUUUUUCUAUUAAUGCUUCUGAAAUAAAACAUAAAUAUCAAAUAUCAAAUAUCAAAUAUCGGGUUUCUGCUGCCUUCCUGGACAUUUUUGCUAGUUUUCCCCAUCUUCGGGCGUAUGGCGGGGGAGACUCUAUUUCUGCUUAGGCGGCCUUGAAAGCUGAAAGCUGAAAGCUGAAAGCUGAAAUAUGUAAAUCGGUAUAAUGGGUAAGCACUCUCUCACUCUGUCGCUUGGCAUUAUUACUUUCCGUGUCAUUUUCAUUUGUUGACUUUUGCAAAAUGCGGCAUAAAUCAAAACGGUAUGGAGGGGGCUGUCAGGGCUGGCAGGGAUCUGGGAUCUGGGAUCUGGGAGGUGGUUGUCGGAGAAUACUUCCGUGGCAUCGGACUGCAUUGGAUUCGCCUCUGCCUCUGCCUCUG
rnacentral:lncRNA from 1 species